rnacentral:tRNA from 2 species
GGAGAAAUACUCAAGUGGCUCAAGAGGCGCCCCUGCUAAGGGUGUAGGUCGGGUUAAACCGGCGCGCGGGUUCAAAUCCCGCUUUCUCCG